rnacentral:rRNA from 1 species
UACGGAGGGUGCGAGCGUUAUCCGGAAUUACUGGGUUUAAAGGGUGCGUAGGCGGCUAUGUAAGUCAGAUAGUGAAAGUUUGCGGCUCAACCGUAAAAUUGCUUUUGAUACUGCAUAGCUAGAAUUAGGAUGAGGUUAGCGGAAUGUGGCAUGUAGCGGUGAAAUGCAUAGAUAUGCCAUAGAACACCAAUUGCGAAGGCAGCUGGCUAGACCUAUAUUGACGCUGAGGCACGAAAGCGUGGGGAGCGAACAGG